AAAUGGAAAACACAAUGUGCCAAGCCGAAACUACCAAAUACCUCCCCAAAACAAAUAAUGAGGAAGGCUUUUCUUCUUGUUUGUGCUCUCUUCAUCUUGCUCGCUCUUCUCUUCCUUCCUUCCAUUGAAGCUCGAGCACUCCUUCAGGAAGGUACGCCAUGCCCAAAGAUCAGAGUGGCACCGUGCUCACAAUAUCCGCCAGGGUGUAUCCCAGGUAAAACAUGCUUUCUCCCACCGGAAGCGCCAUGAGACCAGGGAGCUGAAUGAAGCUGCUCGUGAAGUAUUUUCAUGGCACCGCUAUCGUGAAUGAAUAAAGAAACGAGUGAAGUCAUUUACCUGAUGGAGCCUGUUUCCACGUUCAAAAUUAGGGAUGAAUACUGUCUAAGAUGCAUGUUAAGGUAUAAAACAAUAAAGCAAAGAAAGGAUCGUUUGAUCUAAGGUAUCGUGUGUUUCGAGGGGGGAAAACGGAAUGGAGAGGGAGUCUCUCUCAGGAUUCAUCUUCUCUUUCAAAAUCCAUUGUAAUGAAUUAUCAAGAUGAAUGUGCAAUGAAGUGUUUCUGCUGCAGUCGCUUCUUGUUGAAUUGAA